rnacentral:rRNA from 1 species
GACGGGGGCCCGCACAAGCGGUGAGCAUGUGGUUAAUUCGACGCAACGCGAAGAACCUUACCAGGGCUUGACAUCCCCUGACCGCGUAUGAAAGUACGUUUUCACCCUCGGGUGACAGGGAGACAGGUGGUGCAUGGUUGUCGUCAGCUCGUGUCGUGAGAUGUUGGGUUAAGUCCCGCAACGAGCGCAACCCCUACGUUUAGUUGCUAACAGGUGAAGCUGAGCACUCUAGACGAACUGCCGUUGACAAAACGGAGGAAGGUGGGAUGACGUCAAAUCAUCAUGCCCCUUAUGUUCUGGGCUACACACGUGCUACAAUGGCCGGUACAGACGGAGGCGAAGCCGCGAGGCGGAGCAAAUCCGAAAAAGCCGGUCUCAGUUCGGAUUGCAGGCUGCAAUUCGCCUGCAUGAAGUCGGAAUCGCUAGUAAUCGCAGGUCAGCAUACUGCGGUGAAUACGUUCCCGGGCCUU